rnacentral:lncRNA from 1 species
CAAGGGGUUUUGGGGUGGAUUAUGGGGGGUUGGGGGAGGUCUUCAUGGGGUUUUGGGGGGAAUUUAUGGGGUUUUGGGGUUUUUAAGGGGUUUUGGAGUGAUUUUAUGGGGUUUUGGUGUUCUUAAGGGUUUUUUGGGGUACAUUCAUGGACUUUUGGGGUUCUUAUGGGGCUUUGGGGGGUUUUAAGGGGAUUUGGGGGGAUUUUAAAGGAUUUUGAGUAUUCUUAAGGAUUUUUGAGGGUUCUUAAGGGUUUUUUGGGGUCCAUUCAUAGGGUUUUUGGGCAUAGUUUAUGGGUUUUGUGGGUUUUUAAGUGGAUUUAGGUGGUUUUUAAGGGAUUUUUUGUAUAUUAUGGGUUUUUGAGGGUUCUUACUGAUUUUUUGGGGUACAUUCAUGGACUUUUGGGAUUCUUAUGGGGAUUUUGGGGCAUAUUUAGGGGAUUUUGGGGCAUAUUUAGGGGAUUUGGGGAUACGAAGGCGUUGGGCGACGUCAACGGGGUUGGGUGACCCCGUUGGGUCAUGGUUGACCCCAAAGGUCAUGGGGCGACCCCAAAGGUCAUGGGUUGACCCCAAAGGUCACGGGUUGACCCCAAAGGUCACGGGGCGACCCCAAAGGUCACGGGGCGACCCCGUUGACCCCAUUGACCCCGCAGGAGGUCUUAAAGACUUUUUGGAGGUCCUUAAGGGUUUUUUGGGGUCCAUUCAAGGACUUUUGGGGUUCUUAUGGGGCUUUGGGGGGAUUUUAAGGGAUUUUGAGUAUUCUUAAGGAUUUUUGAGGGUUCUUAAGGGUUUUUUGGGAUCCAUUCAUAGGUUUUUGGGGGUAGUUUAUGGGUUUUGGGGGUUUUUAAGGGGAUUUGGGGGAAUUCCAAGGGAUUUUGAGUAUUAUUAAGGAAUUUCGAGGGUUCUUAAGGUUUUUUGGGAUCCAUUCAUGGACUUUUGGGAUUCUUACGGGGAUUUUGGGGCAUAUUUAGGGGAUUUUGGGGCAUAUUUAGGGGAUUUGGGGAUACGAAGGCGUUGGGCGACGUCAACGGGGUUGGGUGACCCCAUUGGGUCAUGAGUUGACCCCAAAGGUCAUGGGGUGACCCUAAAG